AGUGAACGCUGGCGGUAGGCCUAACACAUGCAAGUCGAACGGCAGCACAGUAAGAGCUUGCUCUUACGGGUGGCGAGUGGCGGACGGGUGAGGAAUACAUCGGAAUCUACUUUUUCGUGGGGGAUAACGUAGGGAAACUUACGCUAAUACCGCAUACGACCUACGGGUGAAAGCAGGGGAUCUUCGGACCUUGCGCGAUUGAAUGAGCCGAUGUCGGAUUAGAUAGUUGGCGGGGUAAAGGCCCACCAAGGCGACGAUCCGUAGCUGGUCUGAGAGGAUGGUCAGCCACACUGGAACUGAGACACGGUCCAGACUCCUACGGGAGGCAGCAGUGGGGAAUAUUGGACAAUGGGCGCAAGCCUGAUCCAGUCAUACCGCGUGGGUGAAGAAGGCCUUCGGGUUCUAAAGCCCUUUUGUUGGGAAAGAAAAGCAGCAGGUUAAUACCCCGCUGUUCUGACGGUACCCAAAGAAUAAGCACCGGCUAACUUCGUG
rnacentral:rRNA from 1 species